UGGUUCUCUGCCAUCUCUGUUGCGUGGUUCUCUCUUUCGCUUUCAUACCUCAGUUUGCUGCUGCUGUAGUGUAGUCAGCUUAUCAAGUGUCCUCCAAGUCAGUUUUCAGCUGCCCCCAGUCAAACCUUGGCAGGGCAACUCUCGAGCCUCUCUCUCUGGCCCAUCUCCAAUUUCGCCUGAGACUCUUCUCCCUGGCACCGAGUUGCUUCGUUAUCAGCACGUCUCUUGGCUCAGCUUCAAUACUAAGCCUUGCAUCCACUCCCACUUAACAGUGAGAGGGGAAAAAAGCCCCCUAGCCUUGGCCACAGGCAGCUUGGUCCAGUUAUACACUGUUCCAAGCGCCCCGCAGCCCAACUGCAGAGGGGGGGAAGAGGGCCUGGCCUCCUCCCUCUUACCUCAGGUGUUGUGAGUCACGUCCCUCACAAACACUCACUCCAAAUGCUGCCUCUAACCCUGCUGUGGGUCGCAGGGCCUGCCCUCCCCCCUCGGAGGGGGAAGAAGGAGGAGGCCCUGCCACCCCUUCGGCCUUCUACACCUACACGCCGCAGACACCAACAGAAUUGCCAACAGCUUCCAGUGGCUGUGUAUAUGUGAUUUUUCAGCAGCAGCGAACAAGAGGAGUGGUGAUUGGCCCUCCAGGGAACACUGCCCUGGCACCAAAUCACCUCUGGGCCCCUCGGCUCUCAGGGGGGCCAAUCUCAACCCAUGACACCUUUCACGAAAAAUUUGGUUCAGACCUCAGACUGCCUGUUUUGCAUAUGCUGAGCAGAUGGGAAUGGGCUGUCCUUGCUGUCCAAGAUGUUACUGGGGAUUCUUCUUCCAGGGCUGUGAGACAGAUCAUGAGGUCAUGAACCUUGUUCUAGAGCAGAAGGAAGAUACUAAGUUAAAUGCUACCACAAAUUUCAUUCUCACCACUCCAUCCAUCUCUGAGUUCUGCUACCGUGACUGAGGCAGCCUAAGCUCUGUGGGCUGCUUCCACUCCCACCCUGCCAGGCAACAGGAGAGUUGUGAUUCCUGUCCAGGCUCCAUACUGCACUGAUGACAACUUCAGUAAAGUGGGAAGACACAAGAAAAGAUGCUCAUCUUUUCCAAAUUAAACAAUCAGGAAAGAGA